rnacentral:rRNA from 1 species
GACGAACGCUGGCGGCGUGCUUAACACAUGCAAGUCGAACGAGUGGCGAACGGGUGAGUAACGCGUAUCAACCUGCCCUUCAGAGGGGGACAACAGUUGGAAAGGACAGCUAAUACCGCAUAUUAUUCGAGCGGCCGAUGUCUGAUUAGCUGGUUGGCGGGGUAAAGGCCCACCAAGGCGACGAUCAGUAGCGGGGCUGAGAGGAUGAUCCGCCACACUGGGACUGAGAACCGGCCCAGACUCCUACGUGAGGCAGCAGUGGGGAAUUUUGGACAAUGGGCGCAAGCCUGAUCCAGCCAUGCCGCGUGUCUGAAGAAGGCCUUCGGGUUGUAAAGCACUUUCAGCGGGGAGGCGUUACCCGCAGAAGAAGCACCGGCUAACUCCGUGCCAGCAGCCGCGGUAAUUC